rnacentral:rRNA from 1 species
UACAGAGGUCUCAAGCGUUGUUCGGAAUUACUGGGCGUAAAGGGCUCGUAGGUGGCCAACUAAGUCAGACGUGAAAUCCCUAGGCUCAACUUGGGAACUGCGUCUGAUACUGGAUGGCUUGAAUUCGGGAGAGGGAUGCAGAAUUCCAGGUGUAGCGGUGAAAUGCGUAGAGAUCAUGAGGAAGACCAGUGGCGAAGGCGGGUCUCUGGACAGUUCCUGACACUGAGACACGAAGGCCAGGGGAGCAAACGGG